rnacentral:rRNA from 1 species
GACGAACGCUGGCGGCGUGCUUAACACAUGCAAGUCGAACGGAAAGGCCCUGCUUGCAGGGUACUCGAGUGGCGAACGGGUGAGUAACACGUGGGUGAUCUGCCCUGCACUUCGGGAUAUGCCUGGGAAACUGGGUCUAAUACCGGGUAGGAGCCAUCUUUAGUGUGAUGGUUGGAAGGAUUUUUCGGUGUAGGAUGAGCUCGCGGCCUAUCAGCUUGUUGGUGGGGUAAUGGCCUACCAAGGCGGCGACGGGUAGCCGGCCUGAGAGGGUGGACGGCCACAUUGGGACUGAGAUACGGCCCAGACUCCUACGGGAGGCAGCAGUGGGGAAUAUUGCACAAUGGGCGCAAGCCUGAUGCAGCAACGCCGCGUGGGGGAUGACGGCCUUCGGGUUGUAAACUGCUUUCGCUAGGGACGAAGCGUUUUGUAACGGUACCGAGAUAAGAGGCACCGGCUAACUACGU